rnacentral:lncRNA from 1 species
CACCUGGGAGCCAGGCUGACACCUAGGAGAAGGGCUGCUCAUGCCGCUGGGUUGGGCUUGAGAGGAAGGUUCUCCUUUGCUCCCCAUUCCCAGCAGGUGUGUGGCCAGGAGAUUGCUAGUCCAGGGGACCAGGAUCCAAGUCAGGGGUGAAUCCCAGGGCUCAUCCUGUGAUGUUGACAUUCUGGAACCCUUGUCAGGGAGCUUAGGAGCCCUUAGAUCAGGCCUAGAUCUGAACUUUACAAGAGUUCUAGUCCUUGGGAAACUGCUGAGGCACUGACACUGGGCUGAAGUCCUCAUGUCCUCAUCUCUCCCUCUGUGCACAGACUCCUAUCCACCCAUGCAUCAAGCAGUUACCAAGUACCUCCUCCAUCUCAGGACCUGUAUCUGGUCCUGGAGUAGAGGAACCAGCAAGAUACACAGUUCCUGCCCUACACAAUCCACAGCUGGUGAGAGACAUAGCAAAGAAAAACAUUAAAACAAUAUGGUGGAGUUGGAGAAGUUGGAGUUGGAGAAGUUGGAGUUGGAGAAACAGAGACGCAGGGACUCUAGGUAGAAUGAAGUAGCCUCUAGCUUGGAUUGAACCCCAAAAAUCUUUUGUUUAAGCUACAAUUAUAACAAUAGAUGACACGAAACCUAUAUGAAGAGAUGAAGUGG